rnacentral:rRNA from 1 species
CCGCGGUAAUACGAAGGGGGCUAGCGUUGUUCGGAAUUACUGGGCGUAAAGCGCACGUAGGCGGAUAUUUAAGUCAGGGGUGAAAUCCCGGGGCUCAACCCCGGAACUGCCUCUCAUACUGGCAAUCUUGAGUUCGAGAGAGGUGAGUGGAAUUCCGAGUGUAGAGGUGAAAUUCGUAGAUAUUCGGAGGAACACCAGUGGCGAAGGCGGCUCACUGGCUCGAUACUGACGCUGAGGUGCGAAAGCGUGGGGAGCAAACAGG